CGACCACUUCCCAGUCUGUGUCUUGGCGUCCAAUAACUGUGUGCGUGCUGACUUAGCAAUUCUGUCUCCCACUGGAAAUCCCUUUGAACUAAGAGAUUGUCAUGGAGUCGUCACAUGUUCCUCCGGUGGAGUUGGACCUGGAACACUGCGGCCUCCGCUGUUACUGCUGGGGAGCGCCAGACUCAGACGGGGGAUCCUCGCAGGAGGAGGCCCAACAGAGGAGGAAGAGGGGAAGUUGGAGGAGGAACGAAUGGAAAUAAACACCUUCUUCACACAGUCUAUGGUGUUGACUCCUGUGUCCCCCUGACCUGUAUGGUUUGCAUGGCGUCCAGUACGGGGUCCUGCAUUGAGACAGGCAGUGAACAGGGCAGCAACAGCUCCCUGGAGGCCACAGGCUUCAGAAGCAGAGAGAGCGACGAGGACGACUGGAGCACACGUGAAGUGUAUGACAGAGAGCGUGGAACAAGUUGUUGUUGGUCUCCAGUUCUUCCCAGUCCAGACGCCAGCAAGUGGUGGGGCGGAUCACCAGAGGUAGG